AUGAGAUGCGAGUUUGGCUUCAGCAAUCAUGAAGAUAUAUCAGGAAAUUACAAAGUUUGCUUCAAUGAAUACCUAAGUGCAGAACCAACAGAUGGAGUUCUGACGAAGUGUGGAGUAGGGGCGAAUGGCGCCAUCGAAGUCCUCGCUCCCGGACGCCUCCAUUCUCGUGUCCUUCGUCUCGGUGCACACCCCCCGCUUCGUUGUCGCCGCCUGAUGUGGCCCCCGAGCGUAGCCUCCCUGCCAUGGCCACCGCCCCGCCUCUCCAUUUUCUCCUUCUUCGUCUCUGCUCGCCCGUCUCCGUGCUCCCCUCCCACCUCGCGCGCCGCCGCCUGA
rnacentral:rRNA from 1 species